UACGUAGGGCGCAAGCGUUGUCCGGAAUUAUUGGGCGUAAAGAGCUCGUAGGCGGUUUGUCGCGUCUGCUGUGAAAACCUGAGGCUCAACCUCGGGCUUGCAGUGGGUACGGGCAGACUAGAGUGCAGUAGGGGAGAUUGGAAUUCCUGGUGUAGCGGUGGAAUGCGCAGAUAUCAGGAGGAACACCGAUGGCGAAGGCAGAUCUCUGGGCCGUAACUGACGCUGAGGAGCGAAAGCGUGGGGAGCAAACAGG
rnacentral:rRNA from 1 species